GGGUUGUGAGGUUAAGCGACUAAGCGUACACGGUGGAUGCCCUGGCAGUCAGAGGCGAUGAAGGACGUGCUAAUCUGCGAUAAGCGUCGGUAAGGUGAUAUGAACCGUUAUAACCGGCGAUUUCCGAAUGGGGAAACCCAGUGUGUUUCGACACACUAUCAUUAACUGAAUCCAUAGGUUAAUGAGGCGAACCGGGGGAACUGAAACAUCUAAGUAC
rnacentral:rRNA from 1 species